rnacentral:rRNA from 1 species
CACAUGCAAGUCUCAGCACUCCUGUGAGGACGCCCUCUUUUCUAACCCAGACUUAGGAGCCGGCAUCAGGCACUAAACUCGCCUACAACGCCUAGUUCAACCACACCCCCAAGGGUUUUCAGCAGUGAUUAAUAUUGUAUAUAAGUGUUAACUUGAACCAGUUAUGGGGAAGAGAGCUGGCCAACUCGGUGCCAGCCGCCGCGGCUAAACCGCACGAGCUCAAGUUGAUAGCUUCCGGCGUUAAGCGUGAUUAAAGACUUACUUAAUUAGAGAAAAACCUAAACUUAGCUGUGAUAAGCUUGUUAUUGUGAAAAACAAGUACGAAAGUUGCUCUAAUAGACUUGAAUACACGACAGUCGGGAAACAAACUGGGAUUAGAUACCCCACUAUG